CAAAAACUUUAAAAAUAGAAAUAAGAACACAACUAUCACUGUAUGCUCAUAGCAAACCAUAAUAUAGCGAUUAUAUGCUGUUUUGCAUAACUAACACAGCCCCUCAGGGGUGGAAUUCUCAUGAAAGAAAUAAAAUUAAAGUUGUGCUUCAAGCUGCAUUUAGCAGUCUGGGAUUUAGAGCUGUAUGAACCUAGCAAUGAUACACAUAAUAUGAAUCUGAUGAGGUUCCAUCUGUUUGACUGGAACACAAAACUUUAGGAAUGAAAUUCAAUGCUACAAGAUGAAGCAAUCAUUGUUAUAGGUGUGUCUAAAUUUCAAUAUCUUACUAACAAAGUCACUCAACUUUAGUUUUAUUUCAAUAUGAUUUUAUCACCAGAAUUUUAUAAAAUUUCUAUCAAAUUUUGUACAUGACAUCCAAGUAACAUUUUUCUG
rnacentral:misc_RNA from 1 species